GGGUAAAGGUGGAGAAAAACGGAGCCAGGUAGGUGAGCACGUUUGGGUUGAUGCCUUGAUGGCGGAGGUACCUAACCGAGGACUGGUGGCCGAACAGCCGGUGGCGGCCGCGCACCCCGCGGGUGCGUCCGGAGCCGCUGCUUCACCUGUCCGACGCAAGGCACGACAGGGCGCACGUCCGCGAGCAGCUCGUUCGCCUCGUCACCGCCAAGCGGUUGGGGCCACAGCGGCUAGAGGAGCGCGCCGAGUUCCUGCGGCGGACGCUGCGGCUCCUGGAGCGCCUGCUCGAGCGGUGCCUGCUCUUCGUCCGCUCGGUCUCGGAGAAGGGUAGGCGCGCGUCAAAGGACGCGCCUAACCAGUGGCCGCGCCGCCUAUCUCGGUCUCCGCAGUCCAGAGCCGAGCUCAUGCGCAGGUGGCUGGACCUCGCCCGGGAGCGGCACGACCUGCGCCGGCCGUUCCGCUGCGGCGCCGCGCGCAAGGCCCUCUGCUCGAGCAAGCGGCCCUCCGGGGACCAAGAGCCGUCUCUGGCCCUCGCGCUCCUACACCAGGCAGACGAAGACUUAGGCGAGGUACGGGUGCUAAGGCCGCUACCGCCGCCGUCGCGCUUCGCUGCCUUCUCGGCACUGCCGCACCGGCACGACCGCUAGGAACCGUACCCGCCGCAUCCCUUCUGGUGAGACCGCGUCCAACACAUGUUGCUGGUAUCCCACGUCCUGGUGAAGCUGGACGCCCACACCCAAACGGACGGCCUUAGCGGCCUGCACUGCGACCACUGGUUUCGCUAGUAUCUCAGCCGCUGGUUGCCCCGCCACCGCGUUUGACCGGAACCGUUAAACCUGAGUGAAGUCCACCAAGAGUCCCUAAACCAGUCCAGGUUAUCCAAGGAAGAACAGGAACUGUUACGGACCACACUCCUGUCACACCUCAAAGUCUGCGAGUAGCGCGGUGACUUCAAACCCGUAGGACCUUCACGGUAGAACCACUGGCCAGCGAGAACGUUCCAACGACUACGGCGGCCUCGCCGCCUUGACAAUACAGACUUACCCAAUGGCCUCCUCCGAAUGACCCUCGACAAGUUCGUCAUACGUAAGCCGCUACUCCUGGGACGUCUGGUAGGACUUAACCACCGGUAACCGUUCUUCUAACGGGUAUCCGAGUUCCCGAGGGGAGAACGACGGUUCUGACAGCCACCCCGUGACUCGAGACUGUACUCGUGUUUCGUAACCUCGUAUCAGUACCGUUCACCCAACACCCUCGAACUAGUUCCACGUCCUCCGUAAGAGGGCCGAGAAGCUGACUCAAUGGUCAUGGAGGGACGUAUGGAGUUCGUUACGAAACGUAAGACACGCUAUAAAGGUUUCCCCAUAUAGAAGCCCUUCCUCUGAGACUAACUGUACACCUAACGUCUUCCGAAGUAGAGAGGAGUUCCGCUGAAACCCUUGUUUACGAACUUUCUUAACGAGUUGUUCAGGAAAAAAGUCGUUGUGUAUAAGUCACUGAGUACAAAGCAGUACGUACUGGACUACAGACUAGAGCGUGUCAGUGAGAGAUAUCUACUUACAAAAACAGACUGACUACUUUCUACGGAAGGCUUUUAGGGAAGGUGACAAGCGGUAGACAGUCACACGUGGUUUGUAGAACUUGACCCAUCUAUGGGUUUCGACGCCAGUGAAAACUAAGAGCCAUACAGACCCGUUCUAAACUCAACGAGUGAACUAUAAAACAAACUAUUUGACUCAUUAUAGGCGCACGACCACGAUGCCCUCACACGCUAGUUUCUCGAGGGAUCCUUAUAACCGUUAGAUUUUGAAGAGGCCAUAUAGCUAUAGAGAAUGUGUUUCUAGGUUACCAACGGACUGAGGUAGACGGUCGAUUCGUUAAACGUUUAAGACUUACAUGACUUGCAGGGAGACUUCUUGGUAGGGUUGCCAAACUGAUCUAAUCAGUUAGACUCCUUUACAAUGUACUUACUUGGCUAAUGAAGCCACUACUCGUUAUAUUCGCGAAACUGUAGUGAGCUCUUGAGCAACCAUAAACUUUAAGGCUUUCCUGUUCCCGUGUCUUAGCGGCUUGACUUCCUGUACUGUGUCGACUGGCUUUGAAAUGUACAAUGCUUAGAACUCUUACAACACUUCCUACUACGGAAUUUUCGGUUCUACUUGUGUUUUCGCGUGUAUGUUGCCAACUAAGACCUUACCAGAAGUUCGCUUCGACCAUUACGCCUUAAGUCGUUACGGUUCAUAAGUGUUCUUUCGUAAUAACAACUUAGUAAACUCGGGGUAGGGUUGGAACUCUCAAACUUUAACUUCGUGAUGUCACCGUAGGUUUGUGGUAGAACCAACGUCCGACCUUUAGAAACGACAAACACACUCGGGUCAGAGAGGUUGACAGUAAAGGAUUGACUUUAGUGGUCGGAGGGAAGAAGGGAGUCCUCCAACGUGUAGUAUGCUACGUCUUUGGACUCCUCAGAGCUACUCACAGAUGUCCGUGUCUCGAACGUCCCUUAGCGCCUUUAUUGACAAUACUUGACGAGUUUUGAUCGUAACGAGGGACACCUUUCUAAAGCCCCGAAACGAAGAGAAGCACAUAACCUUUAAGUUUUAACAGGUCUCGAAGGUGGGUGUUCCUUUGACUGGGACGGCGGUAGCUACCUCCUCAACGAAUACUCCAGUACGCCGGUACAACUACGCAGUGAAGGUAGGACGAACGUGUUGGACAGAAGUGAGCAUUGGAACCAAUAUAUGUUGACAGGAUUGAAUGACAGGGAAGGUCGUCUUUAUCAAAGCGUCGACGCUAGUGAGGCUCCCUACAUACAGCUAUUGACGUCGUCGGACGUUAGGAACCCACCUAACGUGGUGGAAAGCAGUGAGUAGUUGGACGUGUAACACUUGACGGGAUCCAACUGUCUGGAACUAGGGAGCUACAAAGAGCUGCAGCCGCUUCCGGCCCCCUACGUCUUCGAGCUCACGGACUGGUAGUCAUCGUGGAGAGAGGAAUCGGACUACUACUCUUCGUGUAAUGGACGAGAAUUCUAGCAACAGGACAUGGUCAGGUGGCUGAGGCGCCAACAAGUACCGGGAGCGUUGUUCUUCAACACAACCACAAAGGGCAGCCACGUUCUCGACAACAAAGUCCUGACACCCUUAGAACAACGUGAGGGACUUCUCGACACGUGAAACAGCUGAGAGGUCAAGGACGCCUAUAAGUUGACAGGCUUCUAGGUCAGUAACGGUGUAUGCCCGAACGGCCAGAGGGACUCCUGUAACAGGAAGCUCUUCACGGUGGGCAACGACCUCCUCGUCAAUUUCUUCGAGUUCAAGAGGAUGUUAUGCCGCAUCAGAGCCACUGAGGCUUAAGUCUCGCUUGUAGUCGAACACAACGGACGUCGAAUGACUCAAUUCGAACGUCGAAACUCUGUAACAUUGGUAUGAUAAACACGUCCUCACAGGAAAAAUCAAAGUAGACCUACGAAACAAGCCAGAGCCCUUGAGUUUAUUGUGUUUACACACCUUGAAGAAGUCGAACGCACGAUGUGUAGGCGUAACAGAAGGUUCAAGACCGUGUCGAAUUGGUAUGAGAAAAUAACUUCGGAACAAGAACGGUUAAGGAGACACGAUCGUUAGACUUAUGUCUAGUUACGUCGUCAAAAAAGGACCUGACUCGUUUUCCGACUGCGGGUCAAACGUGUUACGUAGUCGAAAUGUAAACGACUGUCACAUUGGGACGACGUCAGAACGGUUAUGGUAGACCCUAUAAACAAGACGGAGUCCUCGAGUUUACCGUCAUUCGUAAAACCUUAAAUAGACCUGUGACCAUGACGGUUUUAUGUGUGGUUGAACAAGAAAGAUCUCUUAUAUGUGUCGUUGAACCGUAAGCCUUUCGGUCCGUUUGAGCUCGCUUCACCGCCGUCGGACGGAUGUUCCGGUUCGCACCCGGAGAGGAAGCGAAGGGAAGGGCGGAACGACAACGCUAACGGCGGUGUUUAGCUCACCGCCAAUUUUGUCGUCUCCUCUUUCUUUCCCUUUAGGAUGGGAGGCAGCGUCGGUCUCCGAGGCCAGACGACGUGCUUGGAGGUAGUGCUACCAGGGCGCCGGCUAGGGGAGGAGAGGGCGGUGGCAGAGGGACGGGCGGGGCGAGGAGAACGACGGCGGCUAGAGACCCUUCGGCAGCCGGAGAAAGAGGAAUAGGAGGUCGCCGUAUCGUGCGGCGCCGCGGGCCACGAGGCGCCGCUUGUUCGGGAGGGGAGGGGGAAGGCGGCGGGGCCCGUUGCUCGCCGCCGUCGUCGUCGAGGUACCGGUUCUAUUCCUCGCUCCACGACAGCGGGAAGGCCAGCCACGCGUACAAGAAGAUGGAGCGGAAGUACCGGUCGCGCCCGGAGCCAUCGGAGUAGCGCGAGUGCGUCGAGGAGGGCCGCGACCCCUUGGGGCGCUCCCGCCGCCCGCAGCGCCUCUGCGAGUUCCCGGACCCGUAGCUGCACCGCCGCCACCGGCAGAAGCGCAAGGAGAUGAGCGCGCUGGCGUUCCGGUCGCUGCGCGUCCACCGGUCCGACUGCGCCCUCCUCUUGGACAGGUCCGAGUUCGAGGCGCAGCCGCUGCCGCCGGCCCACCACGGCGACUCGCUCGACGCCCCGUCGCGCGCCGAGCAGUAGCAGCGGCCGGGGCGGCUCAAGCAGCGGCUCAGCAAGGCGGCCUCGUCCGGCAAGGAGUCCCUGGAGUACCUCUCCCCGCACGACCACGACGGGAAGGGGUGCCUGCCGUUGCGCGGCCGCGACCUCAAGCCACUCCUCCCGCUGCCCCUCCGCCUCCGCCUCCUGCUCCUCCAGCGGCCCUUCUCGUCCUCCGAGACCGUCGAGUGCGGCCACAUGUGGAGGCUCACCCGUUUCACCAACCGACUCGUCUUCUUCUACCGCUUACAGUCCGGACUAAGGGGACACAUGGACAGCGACUCCUACCUGCCCGCGCAGGCCCCGUCGCCGCACCCGAUGGGCGGUACCGUUCGCAAGCACCGCGUCGACGGCGUCCAGUUUCCCUACACCAGCCCAGAAAAACUACCUUACCUGCCCUCUCAGAUCAAAAGAAACGCCCGAAGAAAAAACACAAGACAGAAGACUUUAAACGCACCAAAACGUUCAAACGUAUCAUGGCAUGUGCACAUUUCGUCCGUUCCCGUACAGACUUGACUAAUCAAGUACGCGUUGACAGAGCUACUGUUGUCUACAUUCAAACUGAGAAAAAUUUCUAUUCAAACUGACUGAUCAAGACUCGUUUG
rnacentral:rRNA from 1 species